rnacentral:misc_RNA from 1 species
GUAGGUGAACCUGCGGAAGGAUCAUUAUUGAAAUAAACCUGAUGAGGUUGUUGCUGGCUCUCCAGGGAGCAUGUGCACGCCUUGUCAUCUUUAUAUCUCCACCUGUGCACCUUUUGUAGACCCCUCCAGGUCUAUGUUGCUUCAUUUACCCCAAUGUAUGUUGAUAGAAUGUCGUGGAAUAUGAAAUAUAUACAACUUUCAGCAACGGAUCUCUUGGCUCUC